UUCCCAUACAACCACUGAAGUUAAGCAAUGUUGAGCCUGGUCAGUAUCUAGAUGGGUGACCACAUGGGAAUAGCAGAUGCUGAAA